rnacentral:rRNA from 1 species
UACGAAGGGGGCUAGCGUUGUUCGGAAUUACUGGGCGUAAAGCGCGCGCAGGCGGUCCUUUUAAGUCAGGGGUGAAAGCCCAGAGCUCAACUCUGGAACGGCCUUUGAAACGUAGAGGACUUGGGUACGGGAGAGGUGAGUGGAAUUCCGAGUGUAGAGGUGAAAUUCGUAGAUAUUCGGAAGAACACCAGUGGCGAAGGCGGCUCACUGGCC